rnacentral:sRNA from 1 species
AGUGCUGCUCUGGGCUGGCCGAAGGGGUGGCGCUGCGAUCCCGCAGGGCAGCGACGCGACUCUGGUGCGGGAGGUCUUCUUCGCCCGGAGCUGGGCGUGCGCGGCCGCAAUGAACUGGGAGCUGCUGCUCUGGCUGCUGGUGCUGUGCGCGCUGCUCCUGCUCGUGGUGCAGCUGCUGCGCUUCCUGAGGGCUGACGGCGACCUGACGCUACUAUGGGCCGAGUGGCAGGGACGACGCCCAGAAUGGGAGCUGACUGAUAUGGUGGUGUGGGUGACUGGAGCCUCGAGUGGAAUUGGUGAGGAGCUGGCUUACCAGUUGUCUAAACUAGGAGUUUCUCUUGUGCUGUCAGCCAGAAGAGUGCAUGAGCUGGAAAGGGUGAAAAGAAGAUGCCUAGGUAAGCAGAUCUGAAAUAGCAGCGGUGCUUCCUGGAAAUAAAUCAAUCCAAACUCAAAUACAGUUUUGGGACUUUUAGAGAGGAGUGAGAUUUCCCCCCGGCUCCAAAUGCUCUACGUGCUUCGUCUCAGAUCCUCUCCUUUUUGUCUUAAUUGGCUGCCGUCGCCUU